AGGCUGGGUGGGCUGGGUGUGGCGGUGACCUCUGACGCGGCCCCCUUUGGGGCUGCGGGUCCGCAGCCCGCGGUCCGGGUCCGCCGCCCCGUGGGGAGGGGGCCCGCGCGCAGGACUGUCGCGGCCGCCCGGGUGGGACCGAGCUGCGGGGGUCGCUGUCCGGGCUCGUGGUCGCCGCUCCGCCCGGCGCCGCGGGAGAAGGCGGGGCUGUCGCUGCGCAGCGGGCGAGGGAGCGGCGCGGGCGCCGUGGUCCCAGCUCCCGACGGCGACAGGCGCGACGAGCGCGGGGCCACCCGGGGCUGCAGGAGGGGGAGGGGCCUGCGGCCGUGGGGCUGAGGGGUCAGCGCCGUCUGCGCAGGCGCGCCUGCCCGCGUGUUUCCUCGUGGCCGCGCGUGUGAACUGGGGGGCUGUCGUGUGGCGCGGGCGGUGGGGUUCAGUCCGUGACCCUAAAGGCGGCCGUCGGUCCGGUUGGUGCUCAGCGGGGCGGCGGGGGCGCCGUCAGCGGGCUGCUCGCGUCCGCGUCCCUGCGGCUCUGCCAACGAGCCCGGACACGAUGCUCGCGGUGCUCGCGUCUCCCGCCGUGGGCGCCGCCCGGCCCACCCUCAUCUGGGGAAGGCUCGCUCCUCCCCCGCGGGUCCAGCGCGAGGCGUUAGGACGCUCAGGGCCGCGUUCACUGUGGGGAGUCGAUGGCGGGUCAGGUUCUCGGUCCUGUUACACGGGGUCCAAGUGAGACGCAGAGAGGCCGUGACUCUGGGGUCAGAGAACUGCCGUUCGGGGCGCAGAGAUCGAGGGAGCCACACAAACCGUGUCCUGCGGGGAGGAGGCGGGGGCUCGUAAAGACCAGAGAGGGGCCUCUGCAUCACGGAAUGUUCUCUGGACUUGGCCCCAGAAAGCGGGUCUUGGCUGGUCCGAAUCGGUGGCUCAGGCAGCUCCAGGGAGGCAGCAGGCCCUCAGUGGGAGGAGCCGCAGCUUUCUGGCGGAGUUCUCAGAAUACUUGUCUUCACUCAGCUCAGAGGUCUAUGUCCUGCCUGAGGAGGACGUGCACGACUCUCCUUCCUUAAUGGUUCCCGGCUCCAUUUUAAAGCCCUUCGACAGAAGUGACACUGUUUUCUUUCACGUGUCACAUUUGACCCAUUCGAUGGAGAAUUCUUUCUGAGAGCAUUGCUGGUCCAGCAUAGAGUUUAGUCCCGUGUGGCUGGGAUGCACCUGUCACAGAGAGUCAUGACCCACAGGAGGGAGAAACUGCUUUUUCCCUUUUCCUGAUGGGGCAGGGAGGCGACACUGCCAGUCCUGGAGCUGACGCAUGUGCAGACAGGAGGAUUUGGACCUAGAAUAACGCUCAGAACCAAAGUCGCUCCCCCAAAACAGAUCCAAGGACCAGGACAGGACCAGAUGCCAGUCAUAGAUUUGCCUCAUCUGAUGACAGAGCUGGUGAAAGUGUUUCUGCUCAACGUGAGGAAGCCCCAGCCCAGCAGUGAGUGUCAGGCCAGCUUCCAGGUGUCUGGGGUUGCCUUUGCGAUUCUCAUUGGCUAUGUAAACACUGACGUAUUUCUAUGUAUGGGGCACUGUUUGAAGUGUUUUCCAUACAGUGACUAAGUUACCAUAUAUAAAUCAACUUCUUCCUCAGCAAACUUUAUGAGGUAGCCACUUUAUCAUUUCCUUGGGUGAGUUAACUCAAACUGUGAAUACAGGUGAUUUGCCAGAGGUCACCAAGCUAGGAAAGAACCAACCCAGGAUCGUGACAAAACCCUACCCUCUCUGAGUCCAUACUCAUUGUCUGGUGCCAAAUAUUGAGUAUUCCUCAUAUGUCAUGCACUCUAGGCUCAAAACAGAGUUAUUUUCCACACUAAUGUAAGCUGUGCAGGCACUUGCCCACAGAUCCUCAAGCUCUCUGCUCCCAACCUGCUCAGACACACCCACUCCCUCGGCACUCCACCGGUGUCAUCCCUUCUUAGGGUGCAGUGAUGGUCUCUCUAGGAUUUAGGUAUAAUAACUGUUUUCCUAAGUCUUCCUGUGCCUCCUCUGUGGCUGCACAUGACUAGCGAUCCCCUGCUGAGUCAAUGACACUUGAGAGGCAAGUUCAUCCUGACACUGGUUGGAAUCCCUUAGGUACAGGCAUCAUCUCUGGAAAGGCUGUACAGACACCUUUACUGAUCGUUUCCUCUCUAAGUGCCUGGGGGCCUAGUCACCUUAUACAUCCUCUGAGACAUGAACCCCUACAAGGUCCACUCAAAAUACAACAAGACGUCCACCAUGGCCAGGGCCAGAGAAGGAUCCCUAGAGGCCAUCUGACACAGAGGGAGGAAGUGACCUUUGUCAAUGGAGGCAGAGCAACAGAACUGUAAGUGGUCAGAAUGAAGAGAAAAAGCAGGGUCCACUGUCAUACAGUGGAAACAACACAAGGGAACAUCGCUGGGCAGGAGCAUCAGCAAUCAGUUACCCAUCUGUAGGCAAAUGGCCCGUGGAUAUUCAGCACAAUUACCAGCAACAAGAAGACUGAGAAGAUGUCUCUAUUCUUGUAUUGCUUUCACAUUAAGCCACUGAGAGCUCUGUGGAGAACAAACAUUUAGAAGCAGCAUUUCCAGGAAUCAGUAGUUCACUCAAGUUGGUUAUGUCUGUAAACUGGAGCUCCCUCUCCUAACUCAUUCCCACCGCAACUAAGUGCUCACCUCACCAAGAACGCUGGUGGUUCUACUUGUCCACAGGGAACUAGGGAAGAUGUGUGUCCAAUUCUGCCUCCCACGCUGCUCAUCUGCAGGAGCCUGACUCCUGGGGAUCUCUGCCUGGAGACUACUGACAUGAGGAACAUUUAGGUUUUCGCUAUUAGGAAUGAAUAAGACAGUGUAAUGAAAAAAAGUUUGUAGCUGCAUAGGAAGUUAAGAAAAACAUACCAGAACAAAAAAAGUUCAAAAGUUAUAUAUUUAAUACUAUUAUCCCAGAAUAUAUAUAGAAAAUUUGACACAAUUACAAAAAUAACUUAAUUUUAUAACCAAUCCUCCAUUAAUGAAACAUAGAACAGCACUUUCUGAGUUUGUGGGUGGCAUCCCACAUAAAGUACAGAAGACUGGCAGAGAUGUUAGCUCAGGUACAAUCUUUAUCCCACAAAAAUGUCAAAGACCUAAACACUGGGUAAUCACAUAUAAAAAUGGAAAGUAACUAAACAUACUGCAUUUAUCAUUUAGAGAGCAGUCAGAUGUAAGAGAAAACGCUCACAAAUUGCCAGAUACAUUCACAAAUGCUGCUUUCAAUCAUGGAAAUAUCCAGAAAGAAGAAAUGGAAGAUUACUGCAGCCUCGCAACAAUGCAACCAGGGAAGGAAGUUUCCUGCAUUUGUGGCUGCAGCAUUAAAUCUGUGAGGGUGGAGGCAGGAAACAGAUCCACUAGUAGAGAACAAGAUACUCCCUACAGAAUUCAUGUCAUUAGGAGAAGCAUUGGAGAUGAAGGGGGUCAAGGAUGAGAGAAGGUCACUGUGUGACAGCAUGAACAAGUGGCCUGAUAGUCACCAAAGAGCUUCAGGAAAAUGCAAGGAAUUGUGUGAACCUACAAACGAAAGAGGAUCAAUGAUUGGGGAGCUUGUGGGAAAGUCUGUGGAACCUACUGCUUAGGAGGGAACUGACGUCAAACAUGGUGCUUGAC